UCUUCAUUCUGCACUCUCUCUCUCUCUCACCGGUCAGAGAGGCGAGAGAGUGUGCGAAAUGAAGAGA
rnacentral:pre_miRNA from 1 species